rnacentral:tRNA from 1 species
UGCAGGGAGGUAUCAUGGUGUGUUCCGUAGACUGUUAAUCUAUUGGUCGCUGGUUCGAGUCCAGCUCGAGGAG